UCUCUAUGGUUGGUCAUCGUCAUUGUC
rnacentral:piRNA from 1 species